UACGUAGGGCGCAAGCGUUGUCCGGAAUUAUUGGGCGUAAAGAGCUCGUAGGCGGUUUGUCGCGUCUGCUGUGAAAACUCAGGGCUUAACUCUGAGCUUGCAGUGGGUACGGGCAGACUAGAGUGCGGUAGGGGAGACUGGAAUUCCUGGUGUAGCGGUGAAAUGCGCAGAUAUCAGGAGGAACACCGGUGGCGAAGGCGGGGUCUCUGGGCCGUAACUGACGCUGGAGGAG
rnacentral:rRNA from 1 species